rnacentral:rRNA from 1 species
AGCGUACACGGUGGAUGCCCUGGCAGUCAGAGGCGAUGAAGGACGUGCUAAUCUGCGAUAAGCGUCGGUAAGGUGAUAUGAACCGUUAUAACCGGCGAUUUCCGAAUGGGGAAACCCAGUGUGUUUCGACACACUAUCAUUAACUGAAUCCAUAGGUUAAUGAGGCGAACCGGGGGAACUGAAACAUCUAAGUACCCCGAGGAAAAGAAAUCAACCGAGAUUCCCCCAGUAGCGGCGAGCGAACGGGGAGCAGCCCAGAGCCUGAAUCAGUGUGUGUGUUAGUGGAAGCGUCUGGAAAGGCGUGCGAUACAGGGUGACAGCCCCGUACACAAAAAUGCACAUGCUGUGAGCUCGAUGAGUAGGGCGGGACACGUGGUAUCCUGUCUGAAUAUGGGGGGACCAUCCUCCAAGGCUAAAUACUCCUGACUGACCGAUAGUGAACCAGUACCGUGAGGGAAAGGCGAAAAGAACCCCGGCGAGGGGAGUGAAAAAGAACCUGAAACCGUGUACGUACAAGCAGUGGGAGCACGCUUAGGCGUGUGACUGCGUACCUUUUGUAUAAUGGGUCAGCGACUUAUAUUCUGUAGCAAGGUUAACCGAAUAGGGGAGCCGAAGGGAAACCGAGUCUUAACUGGGCGUUAAGUUGCAGGGUAUAGACCCGAAACCCGGUGAUCUAGCCAUGGGCAGGUUGAAGGUUGGGUAACACUAACUGGAGGACCGAACCGACUAAUGUUGAAAAAUUAGCGGAUGACUUGUGGCUGGGGGUGAAAGGCCAAUCAAACCGGGAGAUAGCUGGUUCUCCCCGAAAGCUAUUUAGGUAGCGCCUCGUGAAUUCAUCUCCGGGGGUAGAGCACUGUUUCGGCAAGGGGGUCAUCCCGACUUACCAACCCGAUGCAAACUGCGAAUACCGGAGAAUGUUAUCACGGGAGACACACGGCGGGUGCUAACGUCCGUCGUGAAGAGGGAAACAACCCAGACCGCCAGCUAAGGUCCCAAAGUCAUGGUUAAGUGGGAAACGAUGUGGGAAGGCCCAGACAGCCAGGAUGUUGGCUUAGAAGCAGCCAUCAUUUAAAGAAAGCGUAAUAGCUCACUGGUCGAGUCGGCCUGCGCGGAAGAUGUAACGGGGCUAAACCAUGCACCGAAGCUGCGGCAGCGACGCUUAUGCGUUGUUGGGUAGGGGAGCGUUCUGUAAGCCUGCGAAGGUGUGCUGUGAGGCAUGCUGGAGGUAUCAGAAGUGCGAAUGCUGACAUAAGUAACGAUAAAGCGGGUGAAAAGCCCGCUCGCCGGAAGACCAAGGGUUCCUGUCCAACGUUAAUCGGGGCAGGGUGAGUCGACCCCUAAGGCGAGGCCGAAAGGCGUAGUCGAUGGGAAACAGGUUAAUAUUCCUGUACUUGGUGUUACUGCGAAGGGGGGACGGAGAAGGCUAUGUUGGCCGGGCGACGGUUGUCCCGGUUUAAGCGUGUAGGCUGGUUUUCCAGGCAAAUCCGGAAAAUCAAGGCUGAGGCGUGAUGACGAGGCACUACGGUGCUGAAGCAACAAAUGCCCUGCUUCCAGGAAAAGCCUCUAAGCAUCAGGUAACAUCAAAUCGUACCCCAAACCGACACAGGUGGUCAGGUAGAGAAUACCAAGGCGCUUGAGAGAACUCGGGUGAAGGAACUAGGCAAAAUGGUGCCGUAACUUCGGGAGAAGGCACGCUGAUAUGUAGGUGAAGCGACUUGCUCGUGGAGCUGAAAUCAGUCGAAGAUACCAGCUGGCUGCAACUGUUUAUUAAAAACACAGCACUGUGCAAACACGAAAGUGGACGUAUACGGUGUGACGCCUGCCCGGUGCCGGAAGGUUAAUUGAUGGGGUUAGCGCAAGCGAAGCUCUUGAUCGAAGCCCCGGUAAACGGCGGCCGUAACUAUAACGGUCCUAAGGUAGCGAAAUUCCUUGUCGGGUAAGUUCCGACCUGCACGAAUGGCGUAAUGAUGGCCAGGCUGUCUCCACCCGAGACUCAGUGAAAUUGAACUCGCUGUGAAGAUGCAGUGUACCCGCGGCAAGACGGAAAGACCCCGUGAACCUUUACUAUAGCUUGACACUGAACAUUGAGCCUUGAUGUGUAGGAUAGGUGGGAGGCUUUGAAGUGUGGACGCCAGUCUGCAUGGAGCCGACCUUGAAAUACCACCCUUUAAUGUUUGAUGUUCUAACGUUGACCCGUAAUCCGGGUUGCGGACAGUG